UGGACGAAAGUCUGACGGAGCAACGCCGCGUGAGUGAUGAAGGCUUUCGGGUCGUAAAACUCUGUUGUUAGGGAAGAACAAGUGCUAGUUGAAUAAGCUGGCACCUUGACGGUACCUAACCAGAAAGCCACGGCUAACUACGUGCCAGCAGCCGCGGUAAUACGUAGGUGGCAAGCGUUAUCCGGAAUUAUUGGGCGUAAAGCGCGCGCAGGUGGUUUCUUAAGUCUGAUGUGAAAGCCCACGGCUCAACCGUGGAGGGUCAUUGGAAACUGGGAGACUUGAGUGCAGAAGAGGAAAGUGGAAUUCCAUGUGUAGCGGUGAAAUGCGUAGAGAUAUGGAGGAACACCAGUGGCGAAGGCGACUUUCUGGUCUGUAACUGACACUGAGGCGCGAAAGCGUGGGGAGCAAACAGGAUUAGAUACCCUGGUAGUCCACGCCGUAAACGAUGAGUGCUAAGUGUUAGAGGGUUUCCGCCCUUUAGUGCUGAAGUUAACGCAUUAAGCACUCCGCCUGGGGAGUACG
rnacentral:rRNA from 1 species